CCGCAUGUAGAUAUAGUUCGAUAAACUUUCGGUCGUUUAUGUCUGAAGCUCCGCCGAUUCUCAUGUUAUCACAAAGACACUCCCCGAAUAAUAAAACUCAUUAUUCAGACAUUUUUCUUUGGAACCAACUGAUUAUUUGCGAAACAUUUUUAGAUAGCUUUUAUUAGCGAUAAAUAUAUUUUCAUUAAAUGAAAAGUAAUUAGAUCGUUUGCAAACACUUUGCUAGCGGUGUCACGACCGUGAGCAUUCAACUUUACGUACGUUACUAUCUUAAAAAAGAAUAAAACAUAAUGAUCGAUUGCGAUUGUGUGUCGCAACUCAAAUUUAUAGAGUAGAUGGACUUUUUGGCGGGAAGGCGAGGAGUGAAGUUGUGUGAUUUGUUUUAUUUUAUCUAUUUAGUGUUUCAUCAGGUUUGAAUCUGUAAUAACGGUGGUUUAUUAACUUUAAUAUAAAAUAUGUGAAAGUGCACAAAUGUGGGAAAAUGUAACAAAGCCGCUGGACGUAACUUCUCGGGAUCCUCCAAAAAGUCCACUGAAAAAAUCUCAGCUACCACUGCUACCAGCGGUGGUCCGAUCAGAUUAAGACGACUUUAAACUCCAGCAUCAAUGUCGCUGUGUGACCCAGUGAUCAAUCCACUACGCGGAGGACAGGAAGGAAUGGAGGAACAUAGUCCUAACAAGUGCUCCGUAAAGUUCACGACCCUCAGCACUGAAGAACACGAUGUACGGAGGAAGUGAGUCUACCAGCGAAUAGGUAGGGAAACAAAAAUAUAUAUCGGUGAAGUAUACCUACGUAUUAGUACCUACUAGAGGAUGACCGAGCUUUGGUUGGUAUUUUUUUGUUGUUGAUAAAUUGUGUUUUUUAGAAUUUAUAUUUAAAUGCGAAUUACAUAUUGAUAUUAUAUUAUUUGUUAUUUUCUUUCAAUAAAAAUAAAUAAAUUUAUGUUUAA